GAUGAACGCUGGCGGCGUGCCUAAUACAUGCAAGUAGAACGCUGAAGGAGGAGCUUGCUCUUCUGGAUGAGUUGCGAACGGGUGAGUAACGCGUAGGUAACCUGCCUGGUAGCGGGGGAUAACUAUUGGAAACGAUAGCUAAUACCGCAUGACAACAGUUAUUGCAUGAUAACUGUUUAAAAGGGGCAACUGCUCCACUACCAGAUGGACCUGCGUUGUAUUAGCUAGUUGGUGAGGUAACGGCUCACCAAGGCGACGAUACAUAGCCGACCUGAGAGGGGGGUCGGCCACCCUGGGACGGAGACACGGCCCAGACUCCUACAGGAGGCAGCAGUAGGGAAUCUGCGGCAAGGGACGGAAGUCUGACCGAGCAAGGCCGCGUGAGUGAAGAAGGUUGUCGGAUCGGAAAGCUCUGUUGUAAGAGAAGAACGAGUGUGAGAGUGGAAAGUUCACACUGUGACGGUAUCUUACCAGAAAGGGACGGCUAACUACGUG
rnacentral:rRNA from 1 species